GACGAACCGAGCGAACGUUGUUCGGAAUCACUGGGCUUAAAGGGCGCGUAGGCGGGCUGCCGCGUCCGGGGUGAAAUCCCACGGCUCAACCGUGGAACGGCCUCGGAUACGGGCGGCCUCGAGGGGGGUAGGGGCAUCUGGAACUGUGAGUGGAGCGGUGAAAUGCGUUGAUAUUCACAGGAACUCCGGUGGCGAAGGCGAGGUGCUGGACCCCAUCUGACGCUGAGGCGCGAAAGCCAGGGGAGCGAACGGG
rnacentral:rRNA from 1 species